AUUGUGUAGUUAUGAUUGUCUUUAGGCUUGCCAUCCUUCCACUUGCAAGUGGUAAGUGAUAUGCGCUGGGAUCACACACACAGCGGCUCAGUCCCGAAUCACAGCUCGUGCACUUCACUCGCGCGCUCUGUGAGCUGCACAAGUCCGGAGUGCGCACCCUCCAGAGGGCACUCGCUGUUCAGGGCGGAGUGAUUUGGAGCGCAGGAUGCCUGCGGAGCCGAGCGUAUCCGUGUAUUGGUGUUGCUGUGUGCACACUAAUCGUUUUAAAAACGUUAAUCUGAUGAUCUGCUGAUACGGUCUAAUGUAAACAUGGGCUGAGUGUGGAGUGCGCGUGACUUGCAUUUUACCAGUUUCCUGCUCUACGAGUUCGGGCUGCACUUGUGAAGCGUGUGUGACGCACGUGAUUAGCAUGUUACAAUCACUCAUAACUUGUGUGAUGCAAGCCAGGAGUGGGUAUAAAACCAGCGUGUCUGCAGCAUUCUGGAUCUGUCUUUCGACUGAAGAACACUGGAUAUUUUGUGAGAAAAAAAAAAAAAAUUCAGUUUAAAGUUUAGAAAAUGGGACCCAAGAAGAAGUGAGCAAAAGUGAAGUAACCCAGCCUGAAACAGCAGAGGGGGAGGAGGAGGAAGAAUUUGAUGAUGAUGGUAGCAGCACCAGCGAGCCCUGCACGGACAGGGAGAAGUUUGCCUUCAAGCCGGCAGAUGGUACAGCACCCUGCCAGAGAGAUUCUCACAGCUAAUGAUGCCCAGAAGUGAGGACACUGCAAUCCCAUGAUCGCUGUCCGGCCAUUGUGCCAUGCUCAGUGAUAAGGACAUCCCGACACCCCGUCCCACCACUCAGCAGGAGCAGGACAGCAGCUCGGAGCCAAAGUGUGUUUCAGUGCUCAAACUGUUGGGCUAUUUAGUUGGGAUUUUUUUACAAUGUAAUAAAAUGCGUUAUUCCCUUAUACUCAUGUUUUAUUAUUUGACAUUUGCAUGGUAAAUUAACAUAUACUCAAAUAAAAACAGCAAAUGA